rnacentral:lncRNA from 1 species
AAGAUGGCAAAAGCAUAAUCCAUUGUAACUUUGGUAGAUCAGGUGUCGGCAGGAUCAUUUUCUUCUAAAUUCAAGUAGCAUAACUACAAGUCUGCAAGAUGGCAAAAGCAUAAUCCAUUGUAACUUUGGUAGAUCAGGUGUCGGCAGGAUCAUUUUCUUCUAAAUUCGGUGACGGAUGGAUCAUUUUCUUCUUGUUUCAAGUGUUGUGUGACUCAGGUUUUUUUAGAGUCUUUUACAGUUUUAAAUUGAUUGUCUCUACAUCAUCUACUAUGGCCUACAAACAAUUGAAACAAUCACCCUCCCAAAAUAAUAUGAUCGGUGUUGCAAGGGAUUGUAGCUUAGUUGUGUACAAGCAGAUGUUUUUUUUAGUAUAUCGAUAUUUUUUAUAUUAAGGAAGAGAAGAAGUUUGGAUGAGCCACACAAUAGAUAGUCUAAUUUGAUAUUAAAUUUUUCAUUCACGAGAUUCGAACAUAAGACCUCUACUUCUAAGUGAAGAGGAAUAUCACUAGAUCGUAGUACUAAGUAGCGCAAUCAGUCAUUUAUUUGUUGAGAAUAAAUCUUAUAUUAAUGAAAUGAGAGACUUUGUAUGUGCUUAUAAUAAGUAGUUGAGGUACUCUUCCUAUAGUCAAUUGUUUUUAUGGUGGAACUUCAAUCUCUUUUUCUUGCUAUCAAAACAAGUUGUCUCAUGUAUGAAGCAUAACGGCCUCACGUGAUCCACAUCUUUCGAAUUGUAUUAUCCACAUGUUAAACUUGAAAUUUGUCAUACGUAAUGGAAUGAAUCUCAUAUUAAAAAAAGAAAAAAAAAAGAGACUUUGAAAUCUCAAUUUUAUUGUAUUUCCAUCCAAAGUUCUAUAUUUUGAUUUCCCAUCUCCAAAAUCGCUCUUAUAAAGAAAAAGAAAAAGUAUAACGAACGUGUAGGACUUUGGAGAUAAGAAAUCAAAUAAAAAGACAACAAUAUGACCCCACGA